UCAUAAUAAUUUCUUCAUAUUCAUGAUGUCGUAAGGGAAAAUAAUGAUAAUACCUUACUAUGAGUGUCGUCCAAAUCUGGUGCCAGAAGACUCGGUAAGACCAGAGACGCAAACGUUAAUCAUCAUAAACAGGCGUAAAGGGUUUGUAGGCAGCUUUUAUAAGAUUAUGAUUGCAAAAAAUAAAGGGUAAUCUAAAUUGAAAGCUAGAAUCAAAAAGAGGUUAUAGUGUAUAACGCCUAGAGGAGGGCUGAUAUCCAUAGAUCCUAGGCAGAAUAUUCAGGGCGAAGGCCACUCUCCAUUAAUGAUUGACGCUGAGAAACGAAGGUUAGGGUAGGAAAUAGGAUUAGAUACCCCGGUACUCCUUUCUGUAAACGAUGAAUGGUAGUCAUUAGUUAAAUUAAAAUAACUAGAGGCGAAGUUAACACAAUAACCAUUCCGCCUUGUGAGUACUACUGCAAAGUAGAAAACAAAAAAAUUAGUCGGUCUCGAAGCAAACGGAGUGAAGCAUGUUAUUUA
rnacentral:rRNA from 1 species